AUGGUAGGGAGCAUCAAGAGAAGAACAAGUAGGGGAAAGGCAAUUCGGAGGAGAAAUACAGUAUUAAUACUGGAAGGAGAAGAAAACAGGAAAAAGGAAGUGAGAAUAAUAGUGGCUGUCUUUACAGACUCAAACGAUGUGGUGUGGCAUUCAAGCAGGCUGGUUCCCUCUACCUGUUGCAUAGUGACUGUUUAUGCAGGACUUCUGUGCAGGACGGCAGUUGUCCGUCGCUUCUCCUGUUACAGAAUCAUGGACUCAUAGAAUCCUGUUUAUAGAAUCAUGGACUCAUAGAAUCUGCUGAGUUAGAAGGGACCCGUCAAGAUCAUCUAGUCCAACUCCUGGCCCUGCACAGGACACCCCAAGAAUCCCACCAUGUGCCUGAGAGUGUUGUCCAAAAGCUUCUUGAGCUCUGCCAGGGUUGGUGCGGUGACCAAGUUCCCUGGAGAGCCUGUUCCAGUGCCCAACCACUCCCUGGAUGAAGAACCUCUUCCUAAAAUCUACCCUAACCAUCCCCUGACACAGUUUGAUUUCUCCAGUCCUGUCAGUGGUCACCAGAGACAUGCGGAGACUUGACACCUCUGCCCCUCUGCUUCCCCUUGUGAAGAUGUCGAAUACUGCAGUGAGGUCUGCCCUCAGCCUCCUCUUCUCCAGCCUGAACAAACCAAGUGACCUCAACCCCUCCUCAGAGGGCCUCCCCUCCAAAAACCCUUACCAGAUUUCUGUGUCCCUCCAUACACAUGAUGGGGACUGUUUGUUCUUGCUGUAGUGCGCACUUAAGUGGAUGCAGGGUGUGGACUACAUCAAGUUGUCCCUGUACUGCAGACAGUGAAAUUAUCUCAGGUUAAAUGAUCCUUAGCCAAAAGAAAAGGGGGAAAGAGAAUUUUGUAUGCAUCAUAGUUUAGGGUGUUAGCACAGGAACAUAGAGAGUGAUCUGCUGGUGAAAUUUCACGGUCUUAGACUGCCGAAAUGUUGAAAGUUUUCAGAACCUGUUAUUGAAGGAGGUAAAACAAGCUACGCUGCUCCUGCAUUGUGAGAGGUUGGAAUAAGGCUGCCAGAGUCACUGCUCUGGCACUUAACUACAGUUUUAGUUUCUGAUAACUGGGAAAAAAUUUGUUGUAGUUCUGUAUGUGCUCUAUAUACGGAAGGUGAUGCCUUUAAGUGGCUCAGAAGGUGUACUCAUGAGGCAAGAGUCAGUGGUGUUUUGUACCAGACUUGAGUUGCAUGGUUUUUCUCAGCCACCUACACUGAUGUAGCUAAGCCAUGAGUUGAGUUUACUUUGCACUGUUACAUAUUUGGGUAAUUACAGUGGUUACCAAUUCAUUAUCCAAAACAGAAGUUACAUUCAAGAGGAUAUUACUGUGCUAGCACUUGUAGAUGGAGUAUGUUGUGUGGCUGAACUCCCCUUUCAACUCUUCAUAAGAAGUAACACCAGCUCCUAUUACAGAUACCUGAGUCAGAGAAGCUUUUUAUGGGAGUUUCUGAGAAUUCUUUUCUGCUUUCCAGAAUUUCAAGUUUCUGACAUGCAGAACAGUAUUGCUGAGAAGAGGCUGCUGUCUGUGUGGAUGAUCUAUAUUCAAUUUAAAUUAAAUAUCCUGUACUGAAUUAUUUGUCAGCUUUUCUGUGGCUGGUUUAAAUAAUGUCUAUUUUUCAGCUUCUGUAUUAGAAACAAUAAUAAGACACUAUAAUUGGAUACAAAUGCUGGGUUUCAUGCUCAUAUUCUGAAUAAAAUUUCUGUAUGCAGUCA
rnacentral:lncRNA from 1 species